rnacentral:rRNA from 1 species
UUACCGGCUCGAAUGGACUGAAAGCUCUUCGGACCAAGGUGCUGCAUGGUUGUCGUCAGCUCGUGCCGCGAGGUGUUGGGUUAAGUCCCGCAACGAGCGCAACCCUAUUUUAGUUACCAGCAAUGGGACUCUAGAAGACUGCCGGCGUAACCGGAGGAAGGUGGGGACGACGUCAAAUCAUCAUGGCCUUUAUGCCGGGCUACACACGUGCUACAAUGGGGUACAAGGGGCACCGCAAGGGAAGCAAUCUCUACCUUCUCAGUUCGGAUUGGAGUCUGCAACUCGACUCCAUGAAGUUGGAAUCGCUAGUAAUCGCGAUCAGCAUGCGCGGUGAAUACGUUCCCGGACCUUGUACACACCGCCCGUCAAGCCAUGGAAGCCGGGGGCCGAA